rnacentral:lncRNA from 1 species
GCUUUAGGUAAUGCGUAGGUUGGGAUUUCCUCGCUGGUAUACAAGCUGCUCCUAAUGCAGAUGUAAUUGUCCUGGUAACUACAUUAUAAACAACCGCAGUCAUGUUAGAGGAAAUUUUGUGUCAAAGGAGGUGUUAGAGCAGAGAUGCCAGAGAGGGCAGAAAUAUAUGAGUGUAUCUAGCUGUUUAUACUAGUUGCUGAAAACACCUCUGCUGAAGUUCAUGCUAUGUGCUAGAGCAGAAAGUCCUGUAGCCUGUGGUUAUGCGAGGUGAUCAGGAGGGCUCUGGAAGUAAGCAACAUGGUCCAAAAUCAGAAGUGGGGCUCAGGCUAAACUUUCUGAUGCAUGUUAAAGACUCUUGAUUGGCCUUGUGGUUUGUCUUUGGUAACUUUCAAGGUAGCUAAGGUGAAAUUGUCUCUGCAGUUCCAUUUUGCUGAAAACACUGGGUGAUGCUGGUAAGAGAUAACAUCUGCUGCUAAAUGCGUUUCUCGGAUACUUGAAAUCUUUCAGAAAAACCACCACUCUUUGUGAAGCACAUUAUCAUCACCAGGCUAAUUAUAUCCAAAGCUGAUAUUCUAAAGGAGUUCAGGGAUUUCCUUUUAUAUAAGAAAGUGAGAUGAUUAAAUGCCCUUGCAGUGUCUGUUUCUUUCAACAAGUAGAUUUUUGCAGAACUGUUACAGUCUGAAAUGUCCCAGAUGGUGCUUUCCAGUUGCAUUGGAGCAUGUAUUUUCUGGAUUGGGAUGUGGAGGACUUAAGAAGCAUGAUUUUGGAGACUUGGAGUGACUGUAGGAAUCCAUCUGGAAAUUGUAAGUAAAAGGUAAAUCUUGAAAGACACUGAAAGCCAAGAUCAGCCUAGGGUAAAUGACGAUGAUUUCUAAAUCCAGUGUAUGUAUACUGUGGCAUUGUAUCUUCUGUGUCCUACAAAUUACUCAUUAUUUUGUUCACAAAUCUUUAUUAUGAUAUCAUUUUUAUCAGAGUAAGUUGUAAUGUGUCAUAGGAGUCUAUUUAACACUGUAUUAAAGGAUUCUGACCAG